UAGAAUGCUAUUUUUGCAGCUAGUCUGCAUUUUGAUUAUUUCGGUGACGUCGAAUUAUUAGGGACCGUAUCAUUCCUCGUCGGUCACAACGACCAUUAGUUUACCGGCGGGCUAUGUUCACUAUCCGACCGUAAGUUCAGCCUACAAAAUACAUCAGGAUGGACUCAGUUGGAGUAACGCAAAGGAUGCUUGCAUUGCCGAGGGAGGUCGCCUCCCCGUGAUUGACACGCAUGAAAAAGUUGGAAUCGUAAAUGGAAUCAGGGAUCCAAGCACCAACGUGUGGGUCGGUAUUGAGAAAAAGUAUGAC
rnacentral:lncRNA from 1 species